rnacentral:sRNA from 1 species
GGCAGAACUGUUAGCGCCCUGGACCGGUGAUAUUGCCGCUGAAGGUAUCAGCCAGGUGCUGCGCGGCGGAACGGCGUUUGUGCGCAAGAACGUUCAGCGUCAGCAACAGUAUGUCGCUGAGACCCUGACCCAGGAGUGGCGUAUGGCCCCUGGCGGGCUGGAAGUGGCCUGGUUCGCAGAAGAAACCGCAGCUAUCGCGCGUUCGGUGGACGCGUUAACCCACCGACUGGAAAAACUGGAGGGCAAAUGA